CUUCAGCCACUAAACUCAUGGUAAAACAGGUCCAGGAAUGGGACCUUCCCUGCUUUAGAUCUGACUACUCCUCCCCCAGCAACCACUACAAAUCAGCCUUGUCCAGAAAGACAAGCGGCACCCCCAAUGUUAUUGGAGGACAAACUGGUACCAUCAGCCAGGUAGAGGAACAGAGACGUCACAAUAUAGAAGGAAAUAACAUCCAGGUGCUUUCCAAGCCAUCUGACACUGAGCCUACUCCCACUAAGAUGCCCCCUUCUUCCCUCCGCCUCCACCCUACAAUGUCAACUCCGCCCCUCCACUCAUUCCUCCACCACGCCACCCUCCUGGAGCACCCCCGCCCUCUCUGAUCCCUACCUUAGACAGGUGAGUUUCUGUUCCGUUCUGUCCUCUGUGUGUGUAUGUCUGUCUGUCUACAGAAUGUUGGCGUUCUGACUGUCUGUACAGGAUGCACUACAGGGGCAGUAGAAGCAGGAGAGGGAGUAAAGACACGGACAGAGAGAGAGAAGAGCGAGACCACUGCUACUCCACAACCAGGCAAGACACAGUGAAAAAGAUAGGGUAGAAAGAUACAAAUCAGGAGAUUGAUGUACGUAGAGAGAUUAUUGACAGUACAGUUUAAGUGAUAGACAGCUACAGAGGUAGGAUCUUAAUUUGAUCCCUCUUUUAUUGCUGAGAAUUUGUGUGCACCACAGGAAAUGUAGAUGAGCUUUGUGAUUUACAUAAAUUAACUGAAAACCCACGCUAACACAUGGUUAUAUUAACAGUAUUGAACCUUUCAUGUAGCCUAUUUUUGGCCAGCCUUAUCACAGCUCAGGCAACAUAAUAGACGGGUUGGCGGGGUUGGCUUAGACUGUGAACAACGUGUAAACUAUAUUUUGUCUCCAUAAAUAUAUUUGCACAAUGAGCACUUGUUGUCUCUCAUACAUCAUUACAUUUGUUGGUUAGCUAGCUUGAGAAUUUUUGCCAUAUUAACAGAGACAUGACAUCAAUCAAAACACCUCAGAACAAGACAUGGUAUCAAUAGAUUCAACGAGCUGAAACGACCCACCUACGAUUCCCAACAUGGCAGCUUUUUUGUCAUGGUUGCUAGCUAUCUGACCGUUCAGAUCAUAACAAUGAACGCCUUCCGGCCACAUUGAUGCACACACAUCAUUUUCGUGACGUUGUCAGCCAACCCGUAUAUGGACUAAACGUUCAAAUCCUGUUGCUGCAGGAUUAUUCUACUGUGACAAUAUACACUGAGUGUACAACACAUUAAAAACACCUUCCUAAUAUUGAGUUGCACUCCCUCCUUUUUUUAUCCUCAGAACAGCCUCAAUUUGUCGGGGCAUGGACUCUAAAAGGUAUCGAAAGCAUUCUACAUGGAUUGCUGGCCCAAUGCUUCCCAUAGUUGUCAAGUUGACUGGAUAUUUUUUGGGUGGUGGACCAUUCUUGAUACACAUGGGAAACUGUUGUCUUGUUGUUGACUAUCAUUAAUUGUGAAGACUGUAUCUUAUCAAAUAAUUUCUCUGUCAUUUAAUUACGCGAUUAAACUAAUCAUUUAACUUUAAUUAACCAGGAUUAGGGGCACCGCAGGAAUAUGUUGUUUAUCUUCAGAUAUUUUCAUAUCUUAUCGAGUAUAGUCUUGUAUUAAUGUAUUAUUAUAACCUCAUCAGUCAUAUUCUUCAUACGUCACAAACCCUUGGAUAUCUGCACAAACCCUAGCCUAAAUCAUGAAUCAGUGAUAUACAAAUUGGUUCAAUUAUUUAUUUACUAACUAACUAAACAAAUCACAGAAAUACAUAAAUAAACAAUAUAGUUAUUGGUUACUAAGACAAUGCAUUGAUAAGUCCCUAGUGGGCUAAACCAGUAUGACGGCUUGGUAGACAAGGGAAAGGGGUGGGAUGGAUAAAGAGCGGGAAAGACAAAAUGGAUUCCCUACACACAGUUGAUAAUUAUAUUAUGUAUGUAUGUAUUAUGUAUGUAUGUAUAGCCCGUAUGUCGUUGAUGUCUUCUAUGUUGGAAUCGCCUGUCCGUCUGCUGGAGAGUCAGUUCAUCAGAGAAUCUCUGGUUAACUUCCCCAGAAGUCACAAUGUCUUUCAUGGUUGUAGCUUUCUCAGUGUCUGUUGUAAUGGAUACAUCAGGCGUACAAAUGGUUGUUGCAUAGAAUAGAUGCGUAAUUUCCAGCUGCAGACUGGUAAUUCUACAUCUAGGAUUUGUUCUUAUUCUGUAGUGAUCGAUAGUCUCAGAGUUGAACCAUUUCUGGCCGUGUAACCAACACUACACACUGUCUGGUCUCCUGGGCCUAUAGAGUGGUAGCCAUUUCAACGUGGGGACUCCGUCCCGGUUUGUAGAUUUCUUAACAAUUCCAACAUGUAACGACAGCUCCGUAUUUUCUGGUCUAAUGUAAAUUUAUUCAGGAAUGGGUUUUAUACACUUCUGAGAAAAGGGUGGUCCAUGAUGCCGAUAUAAUAUCUCACGUGGGCGUGGCUACUGAUUUGGUUAAAGCUUCAUAUGGAAACCCAUACUCUCAUUUAGAAGGCUAACAUCACAUUUAAUCUUUUCACAAAUAGUUCCAUAUGUACGCAUAUACGUUUCACAACAUUUAGAUAGAUGUAAACACCAUAAUUGAGAAGUGGACACAACCAAAGUCACAUUAAUGUCUGUUUCCUCUCCGUCAUAAGAUCACCAAAUGAAACAAACUCAAUGACUGUCCCUUAAGUGUCCACGGACCACUCCCACAUUCUCAAAAAUAUUGUUUACUUAUUCAAACUUUUGAUGUCCAAGGGUCUCUCUGUGUUCCACAGUUUACAUUCCAACUUGAACACUACAGAGCAUAGAGGCAGCGUAUUUUACGACCGCCAUAAAACAGCCGACUUCCCGCUCAACCCCUCUAUGAGAGAGAGUACACUGUAGAGCAAACCCACUGUAACCUGAUCAUUCAGAUCGUCACAGGAGAGUUAUGACACUGUUGAGCGUGAAAAACCCACCAGCGUUGCAGUUCUUGACACAUUCAAACCGGUGAGCUUGGCACCUACCACCAUACCCCGUUCAAAGGAACUUAGAAAAAGUUACAAAUCCUUAAGGGGAUCAUAGCUUUCACCUUGACUCACCUGGUCAGUCGAUGUCAUGUUGUUCUUAAUGUUUUGUACACUCAGUGUAGGUCAAAUUAAGAUCCUAAAUCGGUAGCAUUGAUUGACUGACAGGGAUAAACGUUAAGUAGAAAUAAAGAGUUGAGGUAAGUAUUGUUUGGAGUAAUGUGUCCAGCCUGUCCACAGACAGAGGGAACAUUUUAAUACUUAUUUGGCUCCUUUUUUUUUUUUAUUUGCUGACGCCAGGCACCGUUCAUUGUGCUCCAUCCCUGACCUUGUAGUUGGAUGAGUGGCCAAAUAAGGCAUUUAAACCAGGAGAGUAGUCUCCUGUUUGUGACUGGAAUCUCCUGUUUAUCAGUUACUAUCCAACGCAUCCCUCCGUCCCUCCCUUGUUCCCACUCCCUCCUUAACAAAACAUUGCCGAAGUCACAACCUCUCUGUAUAUUCCCACCACAGCUCAGCUUGGAUUUAAACCACUUAAACCACCACAGGGCCGCGUUCUGCUGCAGGCUCAGGCUCUCUGGAGGUUCCUACAUGGGCUAAUUGCAUCGUUGCCUUUUAUUCUGUUGCUUUAUUUAUUUUGGAUGGUGGAUCUAUCUACCCACUGUGGAUUUAGUGAUUUCUCUUUCUUCUUAUCUCUUUUUUCUUAGUCUGUCUCUCCUGCUUCCUGGCUGUCUGUUUUUCAGUCUUUCUCUUCUUCUAAAUAAAAAUGUUCCCCUUUCCCCUAAUUUGCUGUAUCUAUCUGUGUCUGAAUUCAAUCACCACUC
rnacentral:lncRNA from 13 species